GAUAAACGCUGGCGGCGCACAUAAGACAUGCAAGUCGAACGGACUUAACUCGAAGUUUACUUUGAGAGCGGUUAGUGGCGGACUGGUGAGUAACGCGUGAGCAACCUGCCUACUAGAGGGGAAUAACAGUUAGAAAUGACUGCUAAUACCGCAUAAGCGCACGGUAUCGCAUGAUACAGUGUGAAAAGCCGAGACGGUAUGAGAUGGACCCGCGUCUGAUUAGGUAGUUGGUGAGGUAACGGCCCACCAAGCCGACGAUCAGUAGCCGACCUGAGAGGGUGACCGGCCACAUUGGGACUGAGACACGGCCCAA
rnacentral:rRNA from 1 species